ACAUGGUUGGCUGAGUGGUCGAAAGCGGUGGAUUGCAAACCCACUGGAGAAAUCCCACGCCGGUUCGAAUCCGGCACCAUGUUCCA
rnacentral:tRNA from 1 species